rnacentral:rRNA from 1 species
UACGUAGGUCCCGAGCGUUGUCCGGAUUUAUUGGGCGUAAAGCGAGCGCAGGUGGUUUAAUAAGUCUGAUGUAAAAGGCAGUGGCUCAACCGUUGUGUGCAUUGGAAACUGUUAGACUUGAGUGCAGUAGAGGAGAGUGGAAUUCCAUGUGUAGCGGUGAAAUGCGUAGAUAUAUGGAGGAACACCGGUGGCGAAAGCGGCUUUCUGGACUGUCACUGACACUGAGGCUCGAAAGCGUGGGUAGCAAACAGG